rnacentral:tRNA from 2 species
CCCCGCUUAGCUCAACGGCAGAGCGUUCGGCUGUAGCCCGAAAGGUUCGCGGUUCAAAUCCGCGAGCGGGGA